rnacentral:rRNA from 1 species
CCUACGGGGGGCUGCAGUGAGGAAUAUUGGUCAAUGGACGAGAGUCUGAACCAGCCAAGUAGCGUGAAGGAUGACUGCCCUAUGGGUUGUAAACUUCUUUUAUAUGGGAAUAAAAUGUUCCACGUGUGGGAUUUUGUAUGUACCAUAUGAAUAAGGAUCGGCUAACUCCGUGCCAGCAGCCGCGGUAAUACGGAGGAUCCGAGCGUUAUCCGGAUUUAUUGGGUUUAAAGGGAGCGUAGGUGGAUUGUUAAGUCAGUUGUGAAAGUUUGCGGCUCAACCGUAAAAUUGCAGUUGAAACUGGCAGUCUUGAGUACAGUAGAGGUGGGCGGAAUUCGUGGUGUAGCGGUGAAAUGCUUAGAUAUCACGAAGAACUCCGAUUGCGAAGGCAGCUCACUGGACUGCAACUGACGCUGAGGCACGAAAGCGUGGGUAUCGAACAGGAUUAGAUACCCCGGUAGUC